AUUGAACGCUGGCGGCAGGCCUAACACAUGCAAGUCGAGCGGAUGAAGGGAGCUUGCUCCUGGAUUCAGCGGCGGACGGGUGAGUAAUGCCUAGGAAUCUGCCUGGUAGUGGGGAAUAAGGUCGGAAACGGGGGCCUAAUACGCAAACGGCCCGGGGGGGGAAGGGGGGGGUCCUCGGACCCCACGCCAAUCGGAUGAGCCUAGGUCGGAUUAGCUAGUUGGUGGGGUAAAGGCCUACCAAGGCGACGAUCCGUAACUGGUCUGAGAGGAUGAUCAGUCACACUGGAACUGAGACACGGUCCAGACUCCUACGGGAGGCAGCAGUGGGGAAUAUUGGACAAUGGGCGAAAGCCUGAUCCAGCCAUGCCGCGUGUGUGAAGAAGGUCUUCGGAUUGUAAAGCACUUUAAGUUGGGAGGAAGGGCAGUAAGUUAAUACCUUGCUGUUUUGACGUUACCAACAGAAUAAGCACCGGCUAACUUCGUG
rnacentral:rRNA from 1 species